GACGUAGGGUGCGAGCGUUGUCCGGAUUUAUUGGGCGUAAAGAGCUCGUAGGCGGUGUGUCGCGUCGGCCGUGAAAACCUGCAGCUUAACUGUGGGCUUGCGGUCGAUACGGGCAUCACUGGAGUUCGGCAGGGGAGACUGGAAUUCCUGGUGUAGCGGUGAAAUGCGUAGAUAUCGGAAGGAACAUCAGUGGCGAAAGCGACUUCCUGGACCAGUACCGACGUUCAGGCACGAAAGCGUGGGGAGCAAACAGG
rnacentral:rRNA from 1 species